CAGCAGAAAAUCGAGCUGCAAACCGUGUCUCCAGUGUACAGCUGCGGGAAAGAGAGAAGAAGCACUGUGCAUGAUGGAAUUAUGUGACACCAUAUCUCUCAGGUCCAACCUUCUUUUCAGUUUGUUGGAUUCUCAGAAAACAAAAAAGAAAAAAACACCUGCGCUCCCCUCCACCUGCCUGAAUCCUUAACGGAUUACUGCUCGAUUCACUUGGUUAACUCCUCACACUGGGGUUUUUUUAUAUUCAUGUAACACAUCUUCUGAAGGAAGCCUCACUUACACAGGCCUCGUCGUUCCUCCUCUGUAGCUGCUGCCUUUCAAGUGACACCAAGCUGAUGAAAGUGGAUGAAAGAAAGGGAGGCGGAGAGGCGGAGGAGGAGAAAGCCGGAGCGGAGAGAAAGUAUUGCAGAAUGAAAGAGAACUUGUCUCCCCAGAAGGGGGUUUCCCUCACGGCUGGCGUGUGAAGAGAAUGUCCCGAAGUGAUUUAUGGGAAAUUUACACAUUCAAGUGCGGGUGUGAAAAUGCCCCUCGGCCCACAUGAAAGAUAAGGCUUUAAUAUCUGACUAAUACAACACCGUAAUGAGAUCCUAUUCUUGCCUUUGCCUUUCUGUCUGUUUAUUAGAGAAGUGAUGAAAGAAGCUGACAGUGCGAGAGUGUGGGCUCAUAUUUAUCCAAGCAGUAGCUUGAAAAUUGCUUCCAUGCAAAUGCAUUUGUCGGGUGGAGCGUAGGCCUAAUGCCUCUAGGUACGCUCUCCCGCAAAAAAACAGCGAAGAAGAUGCAGAACGUAUGCCAUCCAGUUACUUGUUGGAAUACAUCAAAGCUCUGCAGUUUUACUCUUUACAAAUGAACGUUUCAACGCUAGCAUUUUGAUAAAGAACUAAGGUUCUUUUUCAGGUCGUGAUGGAUUUCACACUUGGGAGUGGUCCAGAGAACCAGUACCUCAUCCUCUUGUAGUAACUAGUAGUCUGGGGCUCACUUCACCCAGCCUGAGGUUCGGUCCCUCUCAGGUGGCAUCGAUACCUGCCAGGUUCGGGAGACAGGUAGGCAAUGCCUCAGUUUACCUUUGCCUGCUUCUGCGGCCUCCAUGGCCUGUGCCGGCGGAGAAAGAAGAAAAAGAAGAAACAAGAGGAACAGCAGCAGGACUACGAGACCGUGGUUUGACGAUUUGGGACUGAAAAUACACUUGGGUCUAUGCCAAAAAAAGUCUUUGUAAGCCCUCAGCAAACCUCAGGGCUGAUAUUAAGGGACUACUUUCCUAAGUUUCUUCAGGAGUUGUACUCAGUGAAAGAAAGUGAGACAAAGGCGAAGCACUCUUACAUUUUAGAUCACGUCCAUGAAUUAUGAGUGGGUGUUUCUGUUUCAGUGUGAUUCCACAGACUUGAUUGAUUACUGCAAAUCAUAUAUUCAGCAUAUCUUCAGUUACUCUGACACCGCAAAGAACUUCAAACAAAAAUUAGCUAUUCUAAUUGAAAAAAAAGAACAGAAGACGUUGUGUCGCCCCAAACCCCCCCUCCCCCGCCUCCAUAUUAAAGACAAGUUCAGGGUUUCAGAUAUUCAGGAACCAUGAAAACAUCCCACUAACAAUCAGAUCCAUUCUAAGUGAAUAUAUGAGUUUGGAAUUUGAUUAUAGUAUUUUUAGACAGCUUGAUUGAUAGUCUUUUCUAUUUAUUGCUUGAAAAUGAGUGCUUCAGCAGAGUCUGGCAGCCAUAGAGGUGCUCCACAGCACCUGGAUCUGGUGCCUUUAUUCUCCACCAGUUUGCCUGUUAAUUGCCUUCCCAGUAAUUAUGAACCCCUAGGAAGAUCCAAGUGGCCUCUUCGCAAAUGCCACCACAGUAAAGGAUGGGUACCAUCUGUCAUUUCUCGGGAACAUUUUAAGUCUGGCCCUUGGCAAGCGUCAACUGACUCCUCUUGAUUAUUGUGUGGAUUCUGGAAAAGGAUGUGGAAUGAAUUUAAAUGAAACCUGUGGGUGGUGGGAUUUUGUGUCAUUUUGAAGGGUGUGUCUGUGAAAUGGUUAGGAAACUACAUCAAACCACAUAAUCAGGCAGGGUAAAGCUUAUUCAUGUCACACUCUGAAUUAGACCUUUCCAAUCAUGCUGUCCCAAAGCAGUCUGGCAGACUAGUGAUAGAGCGUAGCGUGGACAUUUCCCAAUAAGACAAGAUUCAGGAGCCAGGUGUCCUCUCUCAAAGGACAUUAGGCAGGAAUGAGGAGUGACGAAUGUGCAAGUUAUUUCUAGACCUGUCUUCUCUGACCUAGACGGAGUUUCUUAGGUCCACGGUUUCUUUCUAAGGUUAAUGUGAUUAAGCCUUAAAUAGCAGCACAGACUGUGUCCAAAGGUCACAAUAUACAGAAGGUCACAAACACGCAAAAGUCGGCUCAUCACCUGGCUAACAAAAAUGCGUCCUUUCCCCCUUUGCUACACAAAGUUAUACAAUUAUGGCUAUUUUUAGAACAUUUAUGCAUGAAUAACCCCCAUCAGCCCUAUCAGCUCUACAUUAAUAUAUUCAAUUAAAAUUGGGGGUUGGGAGGGUGGGGGGUUGAAGCUCACCAUGGCAACUGGUCUGACCAAAACUCUGGCCUUUGGAUGCAGGGUUUGAAUGGCUUUGAAAAUAGCAGUAAUUGUGGUGGUAAAUGGCAGCCCUCAUUAAGGAAGGUGAUUAUGCAGUCCACGCAUGCGAGGAUGGGGCGAUGCAAUUAAUCUCGCUCAACAGGAAGCGCGCCAGGAUGACGGAUGCUCCUAAAUCUGAUGUCGCGGAAACAAAAGGGGAAGAAAAAGUCAGGGACUUAAACUUUGGAUAAUGUCCUUUUUGCAUAUUCAGAUUUAGAGGGCUUUCCAGAACCAGUUAAUAUGAGCCAAUGUUAUCCAAUGCGUAUCCUUUCAUCUACUUAUCCCAAGCCAUUCGGACCAUUCAGAUUUCACCUGCAAGUCAUGGUAAAGCCCUAAGCGUUUGAUCCUUGUAUUCAUUUGAACAAGUAUUCAAAAUGAGAGGCGGUUAAAUCGAUUCGAGUGAGUGUUUGUGAGACAAUUCAUCAGACCAAGUUAUCAUGUUACAGGAGCAAGCUUCUGUGGAAGUAAGGGGGGCCAAAUUUAAUGAGCAUGAGAUUGAAACGGCUGCUAAUUACCUGCAGCCGCACUAAUUCAUUGUGUCUGUCUUGCUGGCUCAGAGACUGCACUCUUUAUAGGUGGGUGGCAAUAAAUGAGUGCAUUGCAUCAGAUCGGCACUAUUUUUGCAUGUUUGCUCUGUUAAGCGAUGACAGGAGGCAAGAUUUAAUUACAGUUUUAACUUGCACCACCAAACACACUCAUUUUUCAGCACUGACGUCGGAUACGGUGUUUAGUGUUUCGUAGAAAGCGUAGUGUGCACAGGGGUUUCUACAUUGCAGCCUCGAAAACAAAUAGGUGCAUUAUGCCUUCCCAUUUUCUUUAAACCCAAACUGCCAUUAAACCCGAAUCUCCCAUCUGUCAGCACCCACUGAAAAGUGGCGGCGGCACAAAUGAUCCUUGUCGUGCACGGGUAGACAUUUAUUGCAUUCGGGCUUCAUUUUUCAGCUACAGCACAAAGAACCUGAGCGCGAGAGACAGGGAAGAGGGUGCUGACAUGCGUUCGUCCUGUUCCUUCUCCACCACGCUGACAGCCGACCUGUCUCCGUGCCUUAAUGAAGAUUAAAGCAGGUUUCCUCUUCUUAAGCUCCUGUAAUUAUCCGAUCGUCCAAUAGACAGGCGGGUAGGGCCUCUGCCGAUGGCAGCCUUAGAGAGAGGAAAGUUGAGAGGAGGACGCAAGAAGAUCAUGUAAUUGCGAUGGUAAUGGAUUUUGUCGGGAGCACCUGUCAUGGCCAUGGAGAAAACAGCCAAGGAAGGGAAUUGGAGUCAGGAUGCCAGCGAGCUGAGCCUCUGUCUGAGCCAAGCUCACCUGAUUGCCAAUUUAGGGGAGUCUUCAUGCAUCAAGCAUUGAGAGCAGGGGCGUUAAGGGGCCUAGGUGGCGAUUCACUGGGCAAACCAUUAAAGAAGGUGUCAGUGCGAAUAAGCGACCAGACGGGCAAGAGUGAAAGCUAAAACCAAACGACGUUUAAUUUCCAAUUGAGAGCAGGGGAAGAUGAAAAAGAAACGCACCACUGAAUUUCUCCAGCUAAUGUGAGGUUCCUGGUCAGACAUGCUCUGCUGAGCACAUGAAGUUGAUGCAAGUAGAGCUGGCAGCCUCACUUCGGUGAAUGAGGCCAGUUAAGUUAAGAAAAGUACACGGUCAAAAGGCAAAAUGGACAGGGCAGUCUUCUGUUGCAUGUAAACGUGGUCAGGCUGCGGCAAAAUUAAAUGUGUCUCAGGAAGGGCUGUUUCCUGUUUCCUACCCUAGCAAAAUCAUUCUCAAGUCUCCCCCACCCUGAACCCCCACCAACCAUAGCAACAUCCUAUUUAACCCCCAACCAAAAUCUCUACCAGACUUUGUGAUAUUCUACUUAACUCCCGCACCCCAAAUUCCCACCAAACCUAGUGAUAUCCUACUUAACCCCAUCCCAAACCCCCAUCAACCCAAGCAACAUCUUACUUAACAACCCACCCCAAAUCUCCACUAACUCUAGUGACACCCAGUUGCCCCAUCCAAUCCAAAGCUGUGUCAACCCUAGCAACAUCCUACUCCCCUCACCCAUAACCUUAACCAAACCUAGUGACACCUUACUUAACCCCCCACCCCAAAUUACCACCAACCCUAGCAACAUCAUACUUGACCCUCCAUCCAUCCCCACCAUACCUCUCAAAAAGGCAGCCCCCAGAUAAACCCUAAACCAUGAUAACAAUCACGGAUAUAAUUUCUAUGGCCCCUGGUGGCUCAGGGGUCCUAAACAACUGCUUCUACCACUUAUAGUAAAACAACACAAUUUUCAUGCUCAUCUUUACAAAGCAUCAAAUUUCAUGCUGUUUGUGUAUGCACUGUUUGAGCUGCUCAUUUACCGAGACGCAAACGCUUGCCAAAACACAAACACCAAACAGGCAAUAGCUGAAAAAAUGAUUAUUACUUUUGUUACGGCAGCUGCGCCCAGCUUGCAGUGUUUGCCAGGUGCGCAAAAUCAAUUCCAAAUGUGUUGUUUUUUGAAAGUACUUAAGGUGGGAUUGAAGAAACUUGGUAGAAAUAUCCAACACGGAGGUGCGUAUUUGAGGCUGGCAGCCAAGGGCAGGUGCCUGUUUAUCAGCAGUAAACGUUAACAACUUUUCUGGCAUUGAAAACUCCAGGGGAAGUGUUCUCUGUUGUUGACACUGCACACUUCAUUGCUUCCAGAGACAUUAGCUUGAUCUGGUGUGUGGCUGUGUCAGGGUGACCAAAGCGAAUUGCCACUGGAACAAACUGCACUCUAAGUUUAUCACCAUUUUUCGUGUUGGCCUUUUCGAAAAGUUUAGACAGGAUGAGUAAGAUGAAUGAGUCAGACUCCAACCCGCACAUUUAAUCUUAAUCAGAUGUCUAUCUCGGAUUUUAUUGAUUAGAUAAAUGAACGAAUCAAUAGGCACUCUCUUCUUGAUGUGUUGUUGUUCUUGCUUCGAUACUAAUAAAUGGGUCCUUCAUAUAAUCAAGGAAUCUUGUUCAUGAGGAUGGCAAAGACGUUUCUGUCCAAUCAGACGCCUCUAGUCAAACUCUAGUGGUUAGCAUUUUAUCUCAAAACUGCAGCGGAUUCCCUUUAAACCAUUUAAAGUUCCUCUUUAAUUGGCUGUCUUGGACUUUUUCAUCCCAUGGUUAUUUUACUGAGGAAAAUGUCAUUUCAUCGUGUUGUCCUGAACAUUUUAAAUUUCCUUCAGAAAUAUGAGUUGUCCACCACAGAGAGAUGUAAUAAAUAUUGAUUUCACCCAAAGCGUGAAUUUUUCUACCGAACGUGAGGCAACUGUAGUUUUACCAGCUUAAUUAUACAUUGUUGAGCCAGGGAAGAAAACUCUCAUUAAUGUGUUUCCAUCCACAGACUCCCUCAGUAUCGCCUGCUGUCAGUUCCACUAGGUGCGAACAAUAGGGAAAACAUCAGCGUUAUAAUUUGCUCUUCUCUCAUUCUCUUAAUGGAGACCCGCUCUUUAGGAAAGGAGAUAUGCCCUAUUGAAGCGUUCCUCAUCACCGAUUAGCUUCUCAUAGCAGCCGAUUGUGUUUCUCAGACAUGCCUUGCAAAAUAAUUCCCUUCGUAGCCUUUUCAUUUUUCAAGAAAGCAGCGCUUGUGAAAGAGAGACGGCUUUUGUCUAAGACUUUCCAGGCUCGGAGUUAAUCGGGAAUCAAACGUUACGCCUUUGUUUCGUUUGACUUGGAUGCUCUGUCUCUUUUGGGAGGUUUGAUGAAGCCGCUUAGCUUUACCUUUCUCCCUCGUUUUCUUCCCCUCUCUCUCUCUCUCUCUCUCUCUCUCUCUCUCUGUCUUGCAUUAUCUCACUGUGCCCGAGUCAGCAGCCGUAGCGAGCUCGACACUGCUUGUAAGCGGCUUCUCUGUGUUCCAGGCAGUGAGUUUCAUUACUCAUUGUGCCGAAGCACAGAGGCGGCUCGUGCACACUCACCACUGAGGAGAGUGAGACUGUAGUACACAAUGUCCCAUCUUCCUUCUCUCUCCAAAAUAACACAGAACAAUGACGGUACAGGUGGGACAGGAUGUAAAUGCGGGUGAUUCCAUGAUUGCAGUACUUUUACAUUUAGCCUUUGUUUUUUUUUCUUUCUUUUUUUAGCAUUACAUGACAUCCAUUUAAAAAAAAAAUAGCAUAACACUGAAUCUAAGAAAACACGCAUUUAACCAUCUCACGUGACAAUCCCAUGUUUUACAACGGCUGUAUUUUGCUCUUAAAUGAUUAACAAAGUGGAGUUUGAGCCGUCGUUGUUGUUUUUUUUUUUAAUAGAAUAGUAUAGAAUUAUCAAAUACACAACAUGUGCUUAACUUGAAUCUGUCCAAUCACUGGAAAAAAAAGAAUGAACGUGCUUACUUUUCUUCUUCCUAUGGUCUUCAGGGAAUUUGAAUGAUGCAACGUCCUGUUGAACAUGUGACUUGUGGAAUGUUCCAAAUAUUUCGUAGGGGUGAAUGUGUUCAGGUAAGAUUUUUCAGAACGUAUAAUGGACGACUCGUGGUGAAGGAUGCGAAUAUCUAUCAUGUGAUAGAUGAAUUUACACAUUAAGCCAGAAAUACUAAGAGGUUUGAAGUAAUUUGUUUAUAUUUCAAGGUAAAAUGGAGUUAAGAGUGCUGUAGGUUUUGUAGGGUUUAUUCGAGUUUUUUAUCUGAAACAUGCGCAUAGGUUCUUUUUUUGUCUUUUUUUUUUUUUUUUUUUUUACAUUUACAUACAUAUUAAAGACAAUGAUAAAUGUAAUAUCAGUUGAACACAGAUGGCAACCCAAUCGUGGAACCACCCAAUGUGUAUCAGAGUGAUGAUUACGAACAUAAACAUGAGCGUCUAGCUGUUUUUUUUAUACAUUAUUGUGAUCAUAUUAUAAACCGUGACAGGGAUUUAACAUCGGCGUAGCUUCAUGGAGAGAAACUAAACCAUUUCCACUUCUUCUCCACCAAGCUUCCUGAUCUUCAGUCACUUAACGUUGAUGGCACUUGUGUUGAUUAAGGGUCGUGAGCUGUGCAUCCUCGACACAGUACCAGAUGCCUGGACUGGAGAGAUCUUAGUUUCUCCUAAUCAAGCUUAUGUGCCUGUCUUUUUUCUGCGUUUAAGCCUCUGUAGAAAUUACCACACGCUCCAGGCUCAAUCCUCGUGCCGGGGAAGACGUGAUAUCCGAGACGCGUGUGGUUCAUCACACCUCAAGGUUAUGGUGCUUCAAAAAAAAUUGUUUGUGCGUUCACAGAGGGGAAAAAUAUCAAAUAUGUGUGCCAAGCGGUUCUAACAAAGAAAAAGAAAGAAAGUGCAAGCAUCAGCCCGUGGCAUCUCAGCAUGCCAUGCCUUGCUUUUUAGAGGCUAGACUUAAAGCGCAAGCUUACACCGUGCGUGUGUGAUUUGUGCUUGGCUGUUUGAAAUACAGAACACGUCUGCAUCGGAUGGAUCCCCGCGGCCCAGGGAGCCUCAUUAGAAAGACUCGUGUGCCAGUCUUAAAGCCGGGAUAAGCUUAGCAGCCAGGAGCUAGUGAUAAAGGAGUUAUGUAUCGCCGCCUUACACGCGCAUGACAAAAAGCCCUCUUAUCCAGGUGCCACGCGGCCUAACCUUAUAUAUCACAUGCUGCGGAGGAUGACACACAGCCAGAAACUGUUUGCUUUCGGUCGAAUCUUCUAUACCGAGAGAAUUAAUAGGCCUACUGUACAAGAUGGAAAGUGUGCGCAUGAUUGAACGAAUAUGUAACUACAUUCGCAGAGUGGAAUAAUUAUUGUUUUUUUUAAAAUUACCCAGAUAUCAAUCCUAAUCCCAGUCCCUUUGUACAUAUACGUGACGCUAGCCUCUUAGAGAUGUUUGUCUUCUCAUCUCAAGUAUCUCAAUUAGUGGUCAGCAAAUAUUCCAUCAAAUCUGUCAAAAUAACGUGCUAGAGUGCAAAUAUUUUAUAUUUGCAGUGAAAUCAAGAUCCUAGAUUGGGGGGGGGGGGGGGGUUCUCUCAAAACCAUGCUAAUGUUUAUUAUUCAUAUACUUUGGGAGUAUUCCAAAUUCCCACACAUUUCACAUGCGAUUUUAGGUUUUUCAUGGGAUUAUAUCAAUCACAUGUGAAAACAAAUCACACAUGUCAGAAAAUCACACGUGGAAACAUGAAACCACAACACCCUAGAAGGUUAGAAUGUGAAAAUAAAUGAAUUGUGAAUCAAAGUAAACAACUUGCAUGUAAAAAGCAUAUGCAAAGGUAAACGAAUCACAUUAAUCAAAUAAAUGAAUUGUGAAUCAAAGUAAACAACUCACGUGUAAAAAUCACAUGCGAAGGUAAACAAAUCACAUGAAUCAAAUAAAUGAAUCGUGUGUAAGAAUCGCAUCUGGGGGAAAACGAAUCAUGAAUCGACAUAAAUGAAUCAUGUGUAAGAAUCGCAUCUGGGAAAAACGAAUUAUGAAUCGACAUAAAUGAAUCGUGUGUAAAAGUCACAUGUGAAAAACGUGUCAAUUUGAUGUGUGAAUCAUGUGACUCAUCACAUGUGAAUUUCAUGUGACUUUUCCUUAAGGGUUCUCUUCAUCUUUUUUUUUAGACAAAUAUUCCAACAACAUAAUAAGUUAGAGCUCAAAUAUUUUACAUUCGCAGUGUAAUCAAUGGUACUGUAAUUUUCUGUAUACUGGUGUACAUAUACUGUGACUGAUGACAUACACAACAAUAAUAACUAAGAAUGAAUUAAAUACACAAUAAUUAGCAGUCUAUAUUUGUAUUUUAUAACUUGCAGGUUUAGGAACGAUGUCCUAUAUAAUCUCUUUUGAAAAUGUGAGUGCAAUGAGUUGUGUGCCUUUUUUUUCCUUGUCCAAUAUAUUAGAAGCCAAUUAUUAAUAUGCAUAUUUGUCCCAAGAGAGCCAUAGACUCAAUAAGCCAUGAUCGAGCCAAAUGAGAUGCAAAUGUUUUCAUUAAUAAAACAUAUUACUGUGAUCGCUGCUUGACUUGACUUGGUGAGAGAACAGCGCUUGUGCAAUGCCUGCUAAACUAAAAUGCCUACAACUCAAUCGAAACCCAAUAAUCAUGUACGUAAUUACGUUUUCUGGGGAGGGUUUUUCCCCCGUUUGGUUUAAAUGAAACCAUAAAUGCAUGCAUUUUUUUAAAUGUUUUUUUUGACUGGAAUAUACUUUCUAAUCUCUGUGCAAGCCAUGUUUUCUAAUAAAGACAUUUUACUCCAGUGCUUUUGAAUAAAACAUCUUUGUACAAUUUGCACAGUGAAGUGGGUCUUUGUGAUCAUUUUAGCAAGCUUUGCACAGUCAAAAUGGCUUUUAAUGACCACUCUUUCGCAUCUACACUGCACAAAUUUCACUAUAUUGCACUGUUGAGCACAUUAGUGUCUUCAUUUUUGCACCUUAGACUCGAACACAUUCUCACUGCUCCUCAUUAUCGUCUAGAUUCAAACUUUUCUGUAGGCACACACACACACACACACACACACACACACA
ensembl:lncRNA